AUAUAUGGGUAACAUGCCUUCGAGAAGGGGAUAACGUUUGGAAACGAACGCUAACACCUUAUAUGCCUUUAAGUCUUAAGACUGCAAGGGAAAUAUUUAUAGCUCGAAGAUUGGCCUGUACAGUAUCAGUUAGUUGGUGAGGUAAUGGCUCGCCAAGACAAUGACGCUUAACUGGUUUGAGAGGAUGAUCAGUCUCACUGGAACUGAGACACGGUCCAGACUCCUACGGGAGGCAGCAGUGGGGAAUAUUGCACAAUGGACGAAAGUCUGAUGCAGCAACGCCGCGUGGAGGAUGACACAUUUCGUUGCGUAAACUCCUUUUAUAUAGGAAGAUAAUGACGGUACUAUAUGAAUAAGCACCGGCUUACUCCGUGCCAGCAGCCGCGGUAAUACGGAGGGUG
rnacentral:rRNA from 1 species